UUUUAGUCCCCUGCCCUUUGUACACACCGCCCGUCGCUACUACCGAUUGAAUGGCUUUGUGAGGCCUCCGGAUCUGGCUAGCCUCGAGGGCAACCUCGUCGCAGGCCGGAGAAGCUGGUCAAACUUGGUCAUUUUGAGGAAGUAAAAGUCGUAACAAGGUUUCCGUAGGUGAACCUGCGGAAGGAUCAUUUAAAUACUUUUCAAAACUUUGUUUUGAAUUUAAAGCAACCACCGUUUAGUUCAAAAAUCUAAAACAAAACUUUCAACAACGGAUCUCUUGGUUCUCGCAUCGAUGAAGAACGCAGCGAAUUGCGAUACGUAGUAUGACUUGCAGACGUGAAUCAUCGAAUCUUUGAACGCAUAUUGCGCCUUGGGGCAUUCCCCAAGGCAUGCCUGUUUGAGCGUGAUAUCUUCUCACCGUUGGUGGAUUUGUUUCUAAAUAUCAUGCCACAGUGAAGUCUACGCUUUCACUGCUUUUUCCCCUCAAAUCAGGUAGGACUACCCGCUGAACUUUAGCAUAUCAAUAAGCGGAGGAAAAGAAACCAACAGGGAUUGCCUCAGUAACGGCGAGUGAAGCGGCAAGAGCUCAACUUUGGAAUCGCUGCGGCGAGUUGUAGUCUGGAGGUGGCCGGUCCCGGCGCCAGC
rnacentral:rRNA from 1 species